CGAAGAGACUACACCCGCCGCUGCCGCGAACCGAAACUAGCAGCAAAGUAAUCCCCGCCGCUGCCGCGCGCUCGCUGUACCGCGCGAAGCACACAAGACAGACAAGACGCGCGUGGCUGCAAAGGCUCCUGCGCCUCUCCCUGGCCUGCCCCCCUCGCCUCCCACUCUCGCGCUGCGCGCACUCCGGCUCUCUUCGGCUGCACUAAAAAAGAAUAAGAAGCAGCGGCGGCCGCUCUUGCCUCCUCCUCGCUUUAAUGGCGCCGCCGCGGACCACCUAAAAUGGCCGACGGAAGAACGGCGCGUCCCGGUCACGUGACGCGCGAGCGCGCCCUUUGCGCCUCCCCCGCCCCUUCUACCGCUAUUUUUUUUCCCUCCUUCCUUCUCGGUCCCGCCCUCUCCCUCCCUUUUAUACCUUCCUCGCUAGCGCCGCGCCGCACAGCGUGGGGCCUUUAAAAGGAACCGGAAAUGGCGUUCGAUAAGACAGCCGCGCGGGGACCGUCGAGAACAAGGAGCGCUGUUUCGAAUGCACGGCUAGAGGUGCCCCUCCCUCUGCCCCCGCCCUUCCGAGGGUUCCUGGAGUCCUCUCACCCGCCCACCUCACAUCCCCCAGCAGCGGGUGGAGACCGGGCGUAGGGCUGGGUGUGGUAGCACCUCCCGGAAGGGGACUGUACUCUGUGUCUGCGGCGUUGGGGUGGGGAAGGGGCGUCGCACACUCGGCGGCUUAUGUCAUAGAAGUUCCGGGCCCGAGAAAGAAGACUGCCCUCAGGUUUCGGCCCCGUGCGUCUCACUUGUCCAGAGCGGUGCCUGGGGACGCCUGGCUCACCGUACGCGGAGCGAGGCGCCGCGGCGGACUCCGCGCGUGCACGGACUGCCGCAGAUUCGUCGCCCGCGACCAGGUGACAUUGAAGUUUCCCUGGCUGUCGCCACCGCCCUUUCGACCUGGGGCGGGCAGGCCGAGACCGCUGGCGGUUAGGGCUUCUUUUUCUUUUAAGAUUUGCUUUCCAAGUAAGAUUUUUUUCCUUGCCUGUUUUUCUCCUGAAAUUUUUCGUCCGAAGAAGAACCGAACAACUGUGUUAUACGGGGUUACCUAUAUUCUGCUCCAAAGCGUCUCCAACUAGAAAUGACUAAUGAAGUGAGAAAUCGUUGAGAAGGCAAUAUAGUUUGUGGGGUUUUUUUAGGUGUCCUUUGUUAGGAGUAUAGUUCUUAAAUAUUUACAUUGCUUUCAUUACCCUUAUGUUGUUAUUAGAUGACAAUAAAUGUUAUGGG
rnacentral:lncRNA from 1 species